GAAGCUUGAAGGAAAAAAGAACGGUAGCGAAUUGGAACAAGGUAGAAGAGGAAGCACACUGCUCAACCCCAAAGGGUGGCCCCAUUUAUAUUCCGAAUCACAUAAGUACUCUCACCACCGUACCUGAGUUUCAAUACUCACCUCUUUACGAACUCCGGAAUUAGAGGCUGAAUUGAUUUCAGCUCAACUAACUGAUGCUGAGGGUAUUUGUGUUGAUGACCUUAAAAUUCUUAAGGAGGAAGAGUUAGCAGAAAUGGCUCUCAAGGAAGCUUUUAAGGUAUGUGAUGCUAUUAUAAUGAAGGCUAGAGUCAAGUAACUACCACGGGUAUAGUAGUAUUGCUCUAGUUUAGUUUGUUUUCAAAUUUUAAUUAUGGGUUUCGUUGCAGGAGGAUGAGCAUAUUGGAAAUAAUGUUCAACGUUUAGAAAACGGCUCCAAUUUGGGUGAUCGUAGAAAGUCAGGAAACAAACUUGCACUUGUAGAGAG